rnacentral:lncRNA from 1 species
CCUUACUGAACUUUUUUUAAAAGUAGGAUUAUUUUGAACCAAACCCAAAAAAAAUGGGACCAUAUUAAACCUUUAUAAUAUUGAAAUAAUAAAAAAAAAAAAAACAAAAUAUGGUAUGUGGAGAUAUAAAAAUGGAGAUGAAUUUUUUUUUGGCUUGGAAGAUAAUAAAACCCAUCCUAUUAUUUACCCUUUAUUUCUUCAUACAAAUUUAUUUGUUGACGAAAUCUUAUUCCACCAACCUUUUUCUUUCUUAACUUGUAAGUUCUCAAGACUUCAUUUUGAUGCAUUAUGACACUCAAGGAUAAUACUAUAUAUCUACUUUCUAUUUUCC